AUCAGGACCUAUGUACCAAAGAAGAACAUUGACCUACUGGGAAACAUGAGAAGAAAAAAGCGUGGAAUGGCUGUGAUGGUGCUAGCAGCAAGACAGCAGGGGAGGGUGCCAAGGGACAAAUGGGCACCAUUUUAAUGGAAGUAAGUAACAACCUUACAGCUAAC